AUUGAACGCUGGCGGCAGGCCUAACACAUGCAAGUCGAACGGUAACAGGAAACAGCUUGCUGUUUCGCUGACGAGUGGCGGACGGGUGAGUCAUGUCUGGGCAACUGCCUGAUGGAGGGGGAUAACUACUGGAAACGGUAGCUAAUACCGCAUAACGUCGCAAGACCAAAGAGGGGUACCUUCGGGCCUCGUGCCAUCGGAUGUGCCCAGAUGGGCUUCGCUAGGAGGUGGGGUAACGGCUCACCUAGGCGACGAUCCCUAGCUGGUCUGAGAGGAUGACCAGCCACACUGGAACUGAGACACGGUCCAGACUCCUACGGGAGGCAGCAGUGGGGAAUAUUGCACAAUGGGCGCAAGCCUGAUGCAGCCAUGCCGCGUGUAUGAAGAAGGCCUUCGGGUUGUAAAGUACUUUCAGCGGGGAUGAAGGGAGUAAAGUUAAUACCUUGGCUCAUUGACGUUACCCGCAGAAGAAGCACCGGCUAACUCCGUG
rnacentral:rRNA from 1 species